GAUGAACGCUGGCGGCGUGCCUAAUACAUGCAAGUCGAGCGAACGGACGAGAAGCUUGCUUCUCUGAUGUUAGCGGCGGACGGGUGUGUAACACGUGUAUAACCUACCUAUAAGACUGGGAUAACUUCGGGAAACCGUAGCUAAUACCGGAUAAUAUUUUGCACCGCAUGGUUCAAAAGUGAAAGACGGUCUUGCUGUCACUUAUAGAUGGUUCUGCGCUGCAUUAGCUAGUUGGUAAGGUAACGGCUUACCAAGGCAACGAUGCAUAGCCGACCUGAGAGGGUGAUCGGCGGCACUGGAACUGAGACACGGUCCAGACUCCUACGGGAGGCAGCAGUAGGGAAUCUUCCGCAAUGGGUGGAAGCCUGACGGAGCAACGCCGCGUGAGUGAUGAAGGUCUUCGGAUCGUAAAACUCUGUUAUGAGGGAAAAACAUAUGUGUAAGUAACUGUGCACAUCUUGACGGUACCUAAUCAGAAAGCCACGGCUAACUACGUG
rnacentral:rRNA from 1 species